UACGUAGGGUGCGAGCGUUGUCCGGAAUUACUGGGCGUAAAGAGCUCGUAGGUGGUUUGUCGCGUUGUCCGUGAAAACUCACAACUCAAUUGUGGGCGUGCGGGCGAUACGGGCAGACUGGAGUACUGCAGGGGAGACUGGAAUUCCUGGUGUAGCGGUGAAAUGCGUAGAUAUCUGGAGGAACACCGGUGGCGAAGGCGGCAUCCUGGACCGGUAUUGACGCUGAUGCGCGAAAGCCAGGGGAGCGAACGGG
rnacentral:rRNA from 1 species